AUUGAACGCUGGCGGCAGGCUUAACACAUGCAAGUCGAGCGGGGUGAUGGUGCUUGCACUAUCACUUAGCGGCGGACGGGUGAGUAAUGCUUAGGAAUCUGCCUAUUAGUGGGGGACAACAUCUCGAAAGGGAUGCUAAUACCGCAUACGUCCUACGGGAGAAAGCAGGGGAUCACUUGUGACCUUGCGCUAAUAGAUGAGCCUAAGUCGGAUUAGCUAGUUGGUGGGAUAAAGGCCUACCAAGGCGACGAUCUGUAGCGGGUCUGAGAGGAUGAUCCGCCACACUGGGACUGAGCAACGGCCCAGACUCCUACGGGAGGCAGCAGUGGGGAAUAUUGGACAAUGGGGGGAACCCUGAUCCAGCCAUGCCGCGUGUGCGAAGAAGGCCUUAUGGUUGUAAAGCACUUUAAGCGAGGAGGAGGCUCUUUUGGUUAAUACCCAAGAUGAGUGGACGUUACUCGCAGAAUAAGCACCGGCUAACUCUGUGCCAGCCGCCGCAGUAA
rnacentral:rRNA from 1 species